UCCGAGUUGACCCCGGCAGUCUCCCAUGAGUCCCCGGCAUGAUCCGCUGGCAACAUGGGACAGGGGUUGCGCUCGUUGCGCCACUUAAGGCAACACCUCACGGCACGAGCUGACGACGGCCAUGCAGCACCUGUGCGGGCUCCCGAAGGAGGACCGUAUUUCUACGGCUUCACCCCGCAUGUCAAGCCCUGGUAAGGUUCUUCGCGUCGCGUCGAAUUAAGCCACAUGCUCCGCCGCUUGUGCGGGCCCCCGUCAAUUCCUUUGAGUUUUAGCCUUGCGGCCGUAGUCCCCGGGCGGGGCACUUAAUGCGUUAGCUGCGGCACGGAGUCCGUUGAUAGAACCCCACACCUAGUGCCCAUCGUUUACGGCGUGGACUAC
rnacentral:misc_RNA from 1 species